rnacentral:lncRNA from 1 species
AUAAAAUUGAGCAAAAUGACCAGACCACACAGCAAAGGGAAAAAAGAUGAAACAAGUUAUUAGAUAGGGAAAACCCAGAGAACUCACAUCCUAGCACAUACUGGAAAUGCCCAGAAGAGAGAAAAUAGAACUGGGGAUGAGGAUAUUCAAAUAAACAAUUGGUCAAGGAGUCCACAGAAAGAACAGAUGUUUGAGCAAGAAGAUGAGAGAGUGUCUUUCAGAUAACAGGAGGGAAAGAAAGGACUGUUUCUUCAGAGCCCAGAGGUGAGAAUGUCUCCAGCUUUUCAAGUCACUGUGACUGCAGCUGAAUGGCCAAGGGUGAGGGGAGUUGGAUAUGAGGUGGGAGUAACCAAGUGAUCACAGAGACAUUCUGCUCA